AGACGAACCGUCCAAACGUUAUUCGGAAUUACUGGGCUUAAAGCGUGCGUAGGCGGUCCUGCAAGUUGGGUGUGAAAUCCCUCGGCUCAACCGAGGAACUGCGCUCAAAACUGCAGGGCUUGAGGGAGAUAGGGGUGAGCGGAACUAAUGGUGGAGCGGUGAAAUGCGUUGAUAUCAUUAGGAACACCGGUGGCGAAAGCGGCUCACUGGGUCUCUUCUGACGCUGAGGCACGAAAGCUAGGGUAGCGAACGGGAUUAGAUACCCCGGUAGUCCUAGCCGUAAACGUUGAGCACUAGGUCGAGGGGACUUCCACAUCCUCUCGGUCGUAGCGAAAGUGUUAAGUGCUCCGCCUGGGGAGUAUGGUCGCAAGGCUGAA
rnacentral:rRNA from 1 species